rnacentral:rRNA from 1 species
CCUACGGGUGGCAGCAGUGAGGAAUAUUGGUCAAUGGCCGAGAGGCUGAACCAGCCAAGUCGCGUGAGGGAAGAAUGUCCUAAGGAUUGUAAACCUCUUUUGUCGGGGAGCAAAAAGGCUCUGCGGAGUCGUAUUGAGAGUACCCGAAGAAAAAGCAUCGGCUAACUCCGUGCCAGCAGCCGCGGUAAUACGGAGGAUGAGAGAGUUAUCCGGAUUUAUGGGGGUUAAAGGGUGCGCAGGCGGCGUGUCAAGCAAGCGGGAAAAGAGCGGGGCUCAACCCCGUCGGGCCGUUUGAACUGGCGCGCUUGAGUUCAGGCGGGGUAGGCGGAAUUCUUGGUGUAGCAGUGAAAUGCAUAGAUAUCACGAAGAACUCCGAUUGCGAAGGCAGCUUACCAGUCUGCGACUGACGCUCAGGCACGAAAGUGUGGGUAGCGAACGGGAUUAGAUACCCCUGUAGUC